rnacentral:rRNA from 1 species
AACGAACGCUGGCGGCAUGCCUAACACAUGCAAGUCGAACGAGACCUUCGGGUCUAGUGGCGCACGGGUGCGUAACGCGUGGGAACCUGCCCUUAGGUUCGGAAUAACUCCCCGAAAGGGGUGCUAAUACCGGAUAAUGUCUUCGGACCAAAGAUUUAUCGCCUUUGGAUGGGCCCGCGUUGGAUUAGCUAGUUGGUAGGGUAAAAGCCUACCAAGGCGACGAUCCAUAGCUGGUCUGAGAGGAUGAUCAGCGACACUGGGACUGAGACACGGCCCAGACUCCUACGGGAGGCAGCAGUGGGGAAUAUUGGACAAUGGGCGAAAGCCUGAUCCAGCAAUGCCGCGUGAGUGAUGAAGGCCGUAGGGUUGUAAAGCUCUUUUACCCGGGAUGAUAAUGACAGUACCGGGAGAAUAAGCCCCGGCUAACUCCGUG